AGAAGAAGCUUGCUUUCUUUGCCGGCGAGUGGCGAACGGGUGAGUAAUGUAUCGGAACGUGCCCAGUAGCGGGGGAUAACUGGCCGAAAGGUCAGCUAAUACCGCAUACGCCCUACGGGGGAAAGGGGGGGACUCUUCGGAGCCUCUCACUAUUGGAGCGGCCGAUAUCGGAUUAGCUAGUUGGUGGGGUAAUGGCUCACCAAGGCAACGAUCCGUAGCUGGUUUGAGAGGACGACCAGCCACACUGGGACUGAGACACGGCCCAGACUCCUACGGGAGGCAGCAGUGGGGAAUUUUGGACAAUGGGGGGAACCCUGAUCCAGCCAUCCCGCGUGUGCGAUGAAGGCCUUCGGGUUGUAAAGCACUUUUGGCAGGAAAGAAAAUGUUCUGGCUAAUAUCCGGAACUGAUGACGGUACCUGAAGAAUAAGCACCGGCUAACUACGUGCCAGCAGCCGCGGUAAUACGUAGGGUGCAAGCGUUAAUCGGAAUUACUGGGCGUAAAGCGUGCGCAGGCGGUUCGGAAAGAAAGAUGUGAAAUCCCAGGGGCUCACCCUGGAACUGCAUUCUUUAACUACCGGAACUA
rnacentral:rRNA from 1 species